CGCCGGGCCCGCCGGCGCCCGGUGCCUGCCGGGAGCGGCGGCCAUGUCGCGCUCCACGGGCCGUGGGCAGGGCGGGCGGGGAGGUUCCGUCGGCCCUUGGUUCUCUCCUCACACGGACCUCGGAUGCAGCAGCCCCUUCAGUGUCCAGAUAUCAGAAGCCAGGAGCCAUUGCCUGUAAUGAACACUUCUCUCAAACCACCAGGACUCACACUUCUAUGCUUGCUUUGUGCUGUUCACAAACUGCCCACAUGCUGUUCCUUCCCUCCUGUAGGACACUGACCCCUGACAGCAGAUUUCCUGAGGUGUUUUUUCUCUUCUACAUUGAGCCUUUCAGGUAUACUCUAACUGAGAAGAGAAAGUGGGCUAACUGGUUUUGCAUGGUCUUCUAUACAUACAUCUACAUGUAUGAGUGAACCAAGACUUCUGAGUAUUUCACCUUCCAAUAGAAAAUAAAUAUUUUGUUUAA